GAUUUUACAAUUAUGUACCUCAACUCGACGUUGCUGUAAGUCCAGUCCAAUAAUAACAAUGGCGUAUCAGACGUCGCUCCCAAACCGGUCGACAUCCAUCUGCAUAACUCAUUCCGCAAGAAUGAGCGGUAUAGUUUGAAAACUUACCAAAGUUAUCUGGUGGAUGUCGAUACGUUGGUGAGCAGCCGUCGCACAUAGGUCUGAUGUACCUAUGGAAAGUUAUUAUUGGAUCGGUCAUAAUAGGUUGAGGUGUAACAGCAUUUUAGGGACUAUUGUAAUUCCCACUUCCAGGACUUUAUCAUACAUACAGCCGACAGCCCGAUGACCUACAUUUUUGUGUAUACCCUAUGAUGGCCGCGAAGUAACGAUCACGUCACCGUUUAUCAGAUUGCCCAGUUCGAAAGAGUCUCCAACAAUUUCAUCGGAUAGGUACGCCUUAAACCGUGGCAUAGCGCUGGGCCAGCAUCAUUUUGUCCGGAUCAAUAUCCAUAAAAAUGACGUCCCAAUUAUUAGAAGCUAAUAAUAUAGUGUCUUUGUCGAACAGUCAGCUGUACGAAGUUUCCGCUGUGCCACAAAACGGGUCGACGCCGGUCGCUGAACAUGGGAAGUCCUCAAGUCCACCCAGCAUCGUAUUGAUGAAUCAACAAUAUAUCUUACAUCUUACAUCUAUCAUUGCAAUCUUAUAAUUAUUCACCUGAAUGCAUGUAAUCCUGAAUGUACAGUUAAUUUAUUACUACCCAUCUACAAA